AUGAACGCUGGCGGCGUGCCUAAUACAUGCCAGUCGAGCGAACGGACGAGAAGCUUGCUUUUCUGAUGUUAGCGGCGGACGGGUGAGUAACACGUGGAUAACCUACCUAUAAGACUGGGAUAACUUCGGGAAACCGGAGCUAAUACCGGAUAAUAUUUUGAACCGCAUGGUUCAAAAGUGAAAGACGGUCUUGCUGUCACUUAUAGAUGGAUCCGCGCUGCAUUAGCUAGUUGGUAAGGUAACGGCUUACCAAGGCAACGAUGCAUAGCCGACCCGAGAGGGUGAUCGGCCACACUGGAACUGAGACACGGUCCAGACUCCUACGGGAGGCAGCAGUAGGGAAUCUUCCGCAAUGGGCGAAAGCCUGACGGAGCAACGCCGCGUGAGUGAUGAAGGUCUUCGGAUCGUAAAACUCUGUUAUUAGGGAAGAACAUAUGUGUAAGUAACUGUGCACAUCUUGACGGUACCUAAUCAGAAAGCCACGGCUAACUACGUG
rnacentral:rRNA from 1 species